rnacentral:rRNA from 1 species
AUUGAACGCUGGCGGAAGGCCUAACACAUGCAAGUCGAGCGAGCGGCGGACGGGUGAGUAAUGUAUGGGGACUGCCCGAUAGAGGGGGAUAACUACUGGAAACGGUGGCUAAUACCGCAUACUAUCGGAUCACCAUUAUGGAAUUAGCUAGUAGGUGGGGUAAAGGCUUACCUAGGCGACGAUCUCUAGCUGGUCUGAGAGGAGGAUCAGCCACACGGGGACGGAGACACGGCCCAGAUGCCGAGGGAGGCAGCAGUGGGGAAUAUUGAACAAGGGGGGAAAGCGUGAUGCAGCCAUGCCGCGUGUAUGAAUAAGGCCUUAGGGUUGUAAAGUACUUUCAGCGGGGAGGCGUUACCCGCAGAAGAAGCACCGGCUAACUCCGUGCCAGCAGCCGCGGUAAUA